rnacentral:rRNA from 1 species
UACGUAGGCAGCAAGCGUUGUUCGGAGUUACUGGGCGUAAAGAGCGCGCAGGCGGUCGUGCAAGUCGCGUGUGAAAGCCCCCGGCUCAACUGGGGAGGGUCACGCGAUACUGCUCGACUUGAAGGCAGGAGAGGGAAGCGGAAUUCCCGGUGUAGUGGUGAAAUGCGUAGAUAUCGGGAGGAACACCAGUGGCGAAGGCGGCUUCCUGGCCUGUUCUUGACGCUGAGGCGCGAAAGCUAGGGUAGCAAACGGG